GGGCUUGCUUUGGCAGCUCAUAUACUAAAGUUGGAACCAAACAGAAGAUUAUCACAUCUGUGCAAGGAUGAUGUGCAAGUUUGCGAAGUGUUCCAUAUUUUA